rnacentral:rRNA from 1 species
CAUCGAUGAGAACGCAGCGAAAUGCGAUAAGUAGUGUGAAUUGCAGAAUUCAGUGAAUCAUCGAAUCUUUGAACGCACAUUGCGCCCCUUGGUAUUCCAUGGGGCAUGCCUGUUCGAGCGUCAUUUGUACCUUCAAGCUCUGCUUGGUGUUGGGUGUUUGUCUCGCCUCGCGCGUAGACUCGCCUUAAAACAAUUGGCAGCCGGCGUAUUGAUUUCGGAGCGCAGUACAUCUCGCGCUUUGCACUCAUAACGACGACGUCCAAAAGUACUUUUUACACUCUUGACCUCGGAUCAGGUAGGGAUACCCGCUGAACUUAAGCAUAUCAAUAAGCGGAGGAA